UAAAUAUGAUUAUAAUAGAUCUUAAAAUGUAUUUAUUACUCGUAUAAAGUUAAAUGUAUGUAGAUGAUUCUGUAACAACUACACAAGCAAACCAGAACCACCUGGAGAGAUUCUGGAGAUAAUCUGGAGAAAUGUUUGGUACUGUCCAUAAACCCUGACCCGUAAUCAACCUCUUCAUCAGCAGGACAAAGUCUACUGGAAACACCACUGCAUAAAUGAAGUGGAGCCCAGAACCCGGAACCCAGAACCCGGAGCCCAGAACCCAGAACCCAGAACCUCAGUCUAACGUGGAGUUCACAGAGACACAAAGAAACACAACAAGAUAAAUAAAUGAUUUAAUAGAAUUUCUUUCUCUUGAAAAGCUGUUAAAUUACACUUCCUGUCCUGUUCAGACAGACAGAGAGACAGACAGAGAGACAGACAGAGAGACAGACAGGUUCGGUCUACAGUCCCCCUUUAGGACCAGAACCAACCAGAGAACCCAGAAAGUAAAAGAGGCACGAUGAUGAUGAUGAUGAUGAUGAUGAUGAUGAGACCUACAGAAACAUAAUCUAAAAAAAUUAAAGUCCUCGUUAACACUCAGUGUCUCCAUGGCAACAGAAAGACAAACAUUAACUAUCAGCGUCCGUUUUGUCCCGCGAGCGCGAGUCCCGGCCGGCGUCCGGGUCGGAGAGAUGUGACAGUGCAGGACGCAGUUGUGGACCAGGUUCAGGGAGGCCAGAGUCUGAGCGUCAUCCUGCAGCAGCUGACCCUGAUAGAUCAACCGGACCUGCUGCUCCUGCCCCGCAAAGUAGGUCCUGUAGGGCAGAUGGCAGAGGGCAAUAGUGAUACAAUAGUGGGGCAGUAGUGAUACAGUAGUGGGGCAGUAGUGAUACAAUAGUGGGGCAGUAGUGAUACAAUAGUGGGGCAGUAGUGAUACAGUAGUGGGGCAGAAGUGAUACAGUAGUGGGGCAGUAGUGAUACAAUAGUGGGGCAGUAGUGAUACAGUAGUGGGGCAGAAGUGAUACAAUAGUGGGGCAGAAGUGAGCAGAGUGAGNAGNNGGCANAGGGGCAGAGNGAGGCAGAGUGAGCAANAGUGGGCAGAAUUGAGGCA
rnacentral:lncRNA from 15 species